rnacentral:misc_RNA from 1 species
GUGCCGUACAAAGAAAUUAGAUUGCACGAAAAGAAUCCUUCAAACAUUAGUUCGUGAAGGAGUAAACAAAGACAAAUGAUGAUUAACGAGAAACGUUCAAUGACUUAAGCAGGCAAAUCCAAGCACUAUCCAAUAUGUGCAAAAACAAAGAAAGACAUAUGGUCGCAAUAACAGAGGAUCUUGCAGUAAUGUAUCUCACAACUCCAAGCCCACUGUCAACAAUUGCUUCAUGAACUGCAUAAACACAUCUUUUUAUUCCAUCAUAAAGUCUCUCCAGCAAAAACUCCAAGAAAGAUCUAACUGUCUCAAAUGUAAUCCUCCCAGUCACAUCAAGAAUAAAC